rnacentral:rRNA from 1 species
UACGUAGGGUGCAAGCGUUGUCCGGAAUUAUUGGGCGUAAAGAGCUCGUAGGCGGUUUGUCGCGUCUGCUGUGAAAACUCGGGGCUCAACUCCGAGCUUGCAGUGGGUACGGGCAGACUAGAGUGCGGUAGGGGAGACUGGAAUUCCUGGUGUAGCGGUGAAAUGCGCAGAUAUCAGGAGGAACACCGGUGGCGAAGGCGGGUCUCUGGGCCGUAACUGACGCUGAGGAGCGAAAGCAUGGGGAGCGAACAGG